rnacentral:lncRNA from 1 species
GAAAACUGCUCUCUGACUUUUCUGCCUGUGACUCCUAGGAGUCGACUCAUACUUCUCCGGAGUCGACUCAUACUUCUCCGGAGUCGACUCGAAUUCCACUGGAGUCGACUCGAAGACUGUUCUUUUGAAUUUUUCUUUUGAUUUUACUCCUCCAAUUUGAAUCCUUUGAACUUUAAACUUUGAGCCAAUAAAUUGUAGCUUUCUUCCAACUUGAGAGCUUUGGAGGCCUUCUUGUGUUCUUCCAAC